rnacentral:SRP_RNA from 1 species
GCCAGGCAUGGUGGCUCAUGCUUGUAAUCCCAGCUACUCGGGAGGCUGAGGCAGGAGAAUCGCUUGAACCCAGGAGGCAGAGGCUGCAGUGAGCUGAGAUCACGCCACUGCACUCUAGCCUGGGUGACAGAGUGAGACUCCGUCUCAA